UGGGGAAUAUUGCACAAUGGGCGAAAGCCUGAUGCAGCAACGCCGCGUGAGUGAUGAAGGUCUUCGGAUUGUAAAGCUCUGUCUUUUGGGACGAUAAUGACGGUACCAAAGGAGGAAGCCACGGCUAACUACGUGCCAGCAGCCGCGGUAAUACGUAGGUGGCGAGCGUUGUCCGGAUUUACUGGGCGUAAAGGGUGCGUAGGCGGAUGUUUAAGUGAGAUGUGAAAUACCCGGGCUUAACUUGGGUGCUGCAUUUCAAACUGGAUAUCUAGAGUGCAGGAGAGGAGAAUGGAAUUCCUAGUGUAGCGGUGAAAUGCGUAGAGAUUAGGAAGAACACCAGUGGCGAAGGCGAUUCUCUGGACUGUAACUGACGCUGAGGCACGAAAGCGUGGGUAGCAAACAGGAUUAGAUACCCUGGUAGUCCACGCCGUAAACGAUGAGUACUAGGUGCAGGAGGUAUCGACCCCUUCUGUGCCGCAGUAAACACAUUAAGUACUCCGCCUGGGAAGUACGAUCGCAAGAUUAAAAC
rnacentral:rRNA from 1 species